CCUUCCCUGCCCGCGGCCACCUCCCAGUAUGAGCCGACACCAGCCCCACGCGCCUCCUCGCUGACGGACGGGAUCUGGGCGGGCUCCCCCUCCUCCGGCGCCCUCCACCCCCUUCCCCCCACCCCCGCGCGUGAUGUUGGAGGGCCUCCUUCCUCCUUCCUCCUAGUCGCGCGUGGCCACGCCCCACGUGACCCCCGAAGAAAUUCCAGCCCCGGAUCCGGCGAGGAUCCACCAGGUGGUGCCUCACCUUCACCAUCGAGAUGCUCUGGAUCUAACGGGAGGGGAUCCGCGCGCCCAUGCUCUCACCCUCCCUCUCUCCCGCUUUGAUUCCGGCAUGGAUCGUGACUUCUCUGCCCCCCGAGGUGGACUCGAGGUCGAGCCCUGUCCUGCGACGCCCCGCUGCCGCGGUGAGACCCAUCCGGCCACCGCAACGCUGCCCCACCUCCUUUCUUCGCCCCGGAUCCAAAAAGAGCACAUGGUGCAGCCCCCACCUCCUCUGCCCUGGAUCCAUGGAGCCCGUGGUGUCACGAGAGGCCCCCUCUCCUCUGUUGCGAGCUCGGGCCAACCAUUACUCGGCGGCUCCCUCCUCCAAGGACCCGAUGCCGGCGCCUCCCUCCUCCAAGGACCCGAUGCCCGCGCCAGGAGGAACCGGCGCGCGAGGAGCAGCAGUGUGCCUGUGCUCAACCUCCACAAAAAGGCAAGAUACCAGCGAUCCCAGGAGCACGCGAUGAUGUUCAACAGCGGCGAGGACGCCCAUGCAGUUCAGAAAGGGAUAACUUGUUUUUUUGUUGGAUUUUGGCUAGAGAUUUGAUACCUUGUGCGGUCCAAUUGCAGUACGCAUCGCCGGUGAGGCUGCAGCUCGCGCAGUGGAGUUUAGUGCGGUGUGCGGUUUCCAUGUGCAUUUUUGCAGUGCGUAUUGCUUUUUGUUGUGCCUGUGGGGAUGUAUGCAUGUUCAUGCAUGUCCUGACCUGCUGAGCUGCACGUCCGCCACCUAGGUGUUUGACCACCGAGACACUGGAGCAGCUUCCGUGCAGUGCUUUUGGCGAGCGGUUCGGCCCGCACGUUCCUGUGCAGUGCGGCAUGUGUGUUCGUGCAGUGCGGAAACAUCGGUGUUGUAUAUCGGCGGCAAGAGACAAGUAUACUGCCCUAGGGGUGGAAGGCGUCAUACUUUUUUUAGUUCGUUAUAAGUGAAAAAAUGCGGCUCAGUUUGUCCUGGCACAGAGAUUUUUAUUUUAUUUUAUUAGAGGUCCGUACCUCUGUCAUAUGCAGUUCUUUUUGUUUUGAAGAAAAUAACAUUCAAAGAAAUGCAGCUCCAGAACAAAAAUAACAUUGCAAGAA